rnacentral:rRNA from 1 species
CAGGCCCAAUAACACAUGCAAAGUGUCGAACGAGAUCUUUACGGAUCUAGGUGGUUGGCGCACGGGUGGGUAACUGCGUGGGGUAAUGCUGCCCUUAUGGUUCGGGUAAUAACUCAGGGAAACUUGAGCUAAUACCGGUAUGAUGACUUCGGUCCAAAGCAUUUAUCGCAUCAAGGGAUGAGCCCGCGUAGGAUUAGCUAGUUGGUGGGGUAAAGGCCCACCAAGGCGACGAUCCUUAGCUGGUCUGAGAGGAUGAUCAGCCACACUGGGACUGAGACACGGCCCAGACUCCUACGGGAGGCAGCAGUGGGGAAUAUUGGACAAUGGGCGAAAGCGUGAUCCAGCAAUGCCGCGUGAGUUAUGAAGGCCUUAGGGUUGUAAAGCUCUUUUACCCGGGAUGAUAAUGACAGUACCGGAAAAAUAAGCCCCGGCAUACCUCCGUGCCAGCAGCCGCGUGUAAUACCGGAGGGGGCUAGCGUUUGUUCGUAAUUACUCGGGCGUAAAGCGCACUGUAGGCGGUUAU